AAUCUGGGGGGUAGAUUGUAAUGGGACAGGGUUGGGGCACUACAAGUCCCAUCAGCCCCAGCGCUAUAUAAGGAAGUAGUGAGGUUUGUUUGCUCCCUCACUUCCCUUCCUUGAUCGUGUGUUGUGGAUGUCGUGUGUGUUGUGGAGGCGGCACAUUUAAAUCUUCAAAGGUUAGUAAGUAGAGAGAUUAGUUUGCUCUUACUUCUUUUUGCUGCGAUUGAGUUAUGUGUGCAUGUCACGACAGAUUGAGCCCUUCUGAAGGAUUGUAGCAGAUAAGCAGUUAUGUUAACGUCAUGGAGAGCUGAGCAUAUGAUACAUACCAUUUAGGAGUGUUUUUGCCGGAUUAUUGCCUGACUGAUUGUUGCCUGAGCGUCAGUCAGAAAUAUUGGAUGUUUGAGGGAUGCACGGUUACCGUUUACUUUAGAUUGAAUUUUCUUUGGUUUAUUUAUUAUUUUGUCUGAUGCUGGAUCAAGUGGGAAAACCCUUGACCGUAAAAUAAGAGUGAUGGUCUAAUGGUGCUGACUUGCUUGUCCUACUGGCAUUACCCACAGUUAAUUUGUUUUUCUUUCCUUUUGUAGAUUUCUUUUUAACCCAAUGAUGGCUGCUUGGUUACCCUCACUGAAUGGAUGGCGGUGGUGAGGUGGCUGGGAUCACGUGGUGUUGGUCACUUUAUUUGUAUUUUUACCUUUAGGGUUGCAGUGUGAUUGCUGUGAGUUUUGCUGUGGUGAGAGCACUUUCAGAGACUACUGCCUUCACGAUAUAGGUAACCUGUGGCCAUUUGUGGGUUGUUGUUUUUGUUUUUUUUGUUUCUAGUUUUCAUUUAUUAUUUUGUGGGUAUUUGCUUUUAAGGACUUAUUUUCUUUAACUGCUAAAUUAUUUGAAUAAAAAUGUGCCUAUUGAUGGAAACUGCACAACCGCCUUGCGCCUGAUUAUUUACCCCUUGUGGGUCAU